UUUACCUAUUCCUUAGGUUUUAUCUGGCCCCUACUUACGCAUACCAUCUUCUCUUAUCUCCAUUUCGACCUUCUGUGCCACUUUUGCCACUUUCUCUGAUGACCUCCGCCUCCUUCUCUAAUGGCCACCUUCACGAUUCUCAUUUUCAAACAAGAAAUUAGCAAGCAAAUCGAACUUGGAACUCAAAGGUUCUUCCUCAAAAUCAAAAAGCUAUAACUCACAACUUGAAGAUUUUUCCCAAAUUCAACAACCUUAUACGCCUCGCGGUCCCAACCCUAAUGGUCCUAAGUCUCACAAUAAUCGCUACUCGCAACCCUAGGGAGUGUCAUAGCCGUCAAGGUUAAGGUGUUUCUCCUCCACUUAUUCUCUUUAGGACCCUUUGCAUUGCAGAUCCUUUCGGGUUCUUGAAAUUUUAUUGAAGAGAAAAAAGAAAAACCCUAAUUUCAAAAUGGGAACUAAAGAAGUGUAAAUGUAAUGAAUAAAGGGCUUUAUUCGUGGAGAUGAUGGAGGUGAACUACAUAGUGGAGAGAGAGAAAAGGUCUCAGUUCGGAGCAAAGAACCCUGAGAUGGUGACUACGAUGAUGCCUGAUGCCAACGUAUCUCCAGACGCUGCAAUUGACUAUUGUGAUGUGCGUGUUGAUGCCAUUGCUAUACGCUCUGCUAUGGAUCUUGGUUUACUAAAAGUGAGUGGAGAAAAAAUCCCUGAAAUGUCAACCAUUGAUGUGAGCUCAAAAGAAUUUUAUUGAUGAAUGUGACAAGAGAAUUCUUAACAAGCAUUUUGCAAGACAAUACAGGUUUGGGAGACGACGGACUUUCUACUUUCUUAACACUAAGUUGAAGGUUCGUGAUUGAAAAAGGAAUUAGGGAAAACUAAGAAUAAAUGUUCUAUAAAGUUUGAUGCAAUUGGGUGAUAUCAGAAAACUCCAAGUUUAUGUUUUUGUCUUGUUUCCUUUUGUUUCUAGGUAAUGUAUACUUAUUUAGGUCUAUUUGUACAUAAAUUAAUCUGGGUUGUUUUUCUGUAAUUGUGUAAAAUAAUCUUGGUUGUUUUUCUUGUAAUUGAUUAGUGUCUUUUGUCAUUCAACAUUAAAGUAUGUUCAAUAAAGGUUUCUUUAAAUU